GAUGAACGCUGGCGGCGUGCCUAAUACAUGCAAGUCGAGCGAACAGACGAGGAGCUUGCUCCUCUGACGUUAGCGGCGGACGGGUGAGUAACACGUGGAUAACCUACCUAUAAGACUGGGAUAACUUCGGGAAACCGGAGCUAAUACCGGAUAAUAUAUUGAACCGCAUGGUUCAAUAGUGAAAGACGGUUUUGCUGUCACUUAUAGAUGGAUCCGCGCCGCAUUAGCUAGUUGGUAAGGUAACGGCUUACCAAGGCAACGAUGCGUAGCCGACCUGAGAGGGUGAGCGGCCAAACGGGAACUGAGAAACGGCCCAGCCCCCCACGGGAGGCAGGAGUGGGGAAUCUUCCGCAAGGGGCGAAAGCCUGACGGAGAAACGCCGCGGGAGUGAUGAAGGUUUUCGGAUCGUAAAACUCUUUUUUUAGGGAAGAAAAAAUGUUUAAGUAAAUAUGCACGUCUUGACGGUCCCUAAUCAAAAAGCCACGGCUAACUACGU
rnacentral:rRNA from 1 species